AGGCAUGUGUGAUGACACAACUUUUUUCCCCAUCAGAUCGACCAUGUUGAUCACAUUCUUUUAAGCCAGUAUGUCUGACAUGCCUGCCU
rnacentral:snoRNA from 7 species